UGACGUACCGGUCGGUUUGCUACAAUCUU
rnacentral:sRNA from 1 species